UACGGAAGGGGCAAGCGUUGUUCGGCAUUAUUGGGCGUAAAGGGCGCGUAGGCGGCAUGGCAAGUGGAAGGUGAAAUCCCUCGGCUUAACCGAGGAACUGCCCUCCAAACUGCUUUGCUUGAGGCCGGGAGAGGUGAGUGGAAUUCCCAGUGUAGCGGUGAAAUGCGUAGAUAUUGGGAGGAACACCAGUGGCGAAGGCGGCUCACUGGACCGGUUCUGACGCUGAUGCGCGAAAGCGUGGGGAGCAAACAGG
rnacentral:rRNA from 1 species